UACGUAGGUGGCAAGCGUUGUCCGGAUUACUGGGCGUAAAGAGCGCGCAGGCGGUCGAUCAAGUCGCGUGUGAAAGCCCCCGGCUCAACUGGGGAGGGUCACGCGAUACUGAUCGACUCGAAGGCAGGAGAGGGUAGUGGAAUUUCCGGUGUAGUGGUGAAAUGCGUAGAUAUCGGGAGGAACACCAGUGGCGAAGGCGACUACCUGCCUGUUCUUGACGCUGGAGGCGCGAAAGCUAGGGGAGCAAACGGGG
rnacentral:rRNA from 1 species